GCUGGGACAGACUUCAUUGCCCAUGGACUCUGGGAAAAGCAGGUGUCCCAGAAGAGACAAGUCAUGAGCCCUGAGGCUGAGGACGAGAUUACAAAGGAAGGGAGAGGCAAGAGGGAAAACUUCCAUCCCAACCUGAUUUUGGGGGUAUUGGGAGCAAAAGGAGGGAGGUCCAUUUUGCACAUCUCUGCCUUCAAAAUGCCAUUUAAACUCUCUGUGAAGCAAUUUUAUAAAAAUUCCUUUUAUUUAUUCACCUGGCUGAAGUCACUUUAACUCCCCGUGGAAAUGCUUCUCCUGGGCCAGACAGACCUUUCAUGUGGGUUCCACAGCGAGAGCCAGGGUGCAGAGGAGACUUCAGCGAGAUGGAGAAGGUCAGAAUUAAGGACCAACACCUUUUUUGCCCUGUUUUCUUUCUUCACAGCUUCCAUGCAGUCAGCAGAUUUUGUCUUGGAAUUUCUUGAAUCUGUUUUUUUCCUCCAGAAGGCAAAAAAA